CUAAGUACUAGUGCCGCAGGUGU
rnacentral:ncRNA from 4 species